GCCCGGAUAGCUCAGUCGGUAGAGCAGGGGAUUGAAAAUCCCCGUGUCCUUGGUUCGAUUCCGAGUCCGGGCAUCA
rnacentral:tRNA from 1 species